rnacentral:piRNA from 1 species
UGGCAAAUUGGGGUUCUAGGAAUAGAGGU